CUGAGCCUCUCCCCCGAGUGGCCGAGCCCCAGGCUACCCGCCCUGUGAGGAGGCCCCGCCUCCCCAGCGGGUGCCUGGUCUCCGCAGCGUGGGGCUGGCGGGGCUCUGGCUGACCGGACACCUCUGUCUCCAGAGAGAGACGCGCUCUGCGCUGGAGGGACAGAGCCUGGCCACAGGGUCCCGGCCUGGGGCUCUGGCCUGAGGGAGCCGCUUUGGCCGUUUGAAUUCGCCCUUCAGAGCACGAGAUGUGACCGCGAAUAAGGAAAUAAACCCUGUUACCUGAUCACAGAUCCUGGGUUGUCUGUAACCCUGGGACUGGCAUAAGGAAUCCAGUCUCACAUGGAUCAUGAGUAUGAUUGAAAUCCAGAGUCUUCAGAUCCACAGCCAAGACCUGUUCUGCUUAACAAUUCCUCCUUCUAUUGGUGUUGUCCUGGAAAUGAGCUGCUACGUCCCUGCUACCUCUAUUUUACAGCUGUUGUGGCCUCCCAAGAGAUGGUGAGGAAAGGGGAGGCGCCUGGGGCACUAUUUAAGCUGGGUUUCUCCCUAUGGCUGAGGUAAUUCAGUCUUUGGCAGCAGGGGAGUAGAGGCAGGAGCUCUGAAAGAUGGUGAGUCCCCACAGAGAUGUGUGGAAAAGGGGAAUAUUCUGGCUGUAGUUGGUGGGAUGUGUAUAUUGUUUGUUAAGCUCAUGUGUGUCUGUCUCAUUUAUGGCUAAUUUUACCCCUUCUUUUGGGUGAUUUAAGUUUCCUUUUGGGGGGGAGGGGCGGGCAGAGAGAAGUG